GAUGAACGCUGGCGGCGUGCUUAACACAUGCAAGUCGAACGGAAAGGCUCCUGCUUGCAGGGGUACUCGAGUGGCGAACGGGUGAGUAACACGUGGGUGAUCUGCCCUGCACUUCGGGAUAAGCCUGGGAAACUGGGUCUAAUACCGGAUAGGACGAUGGUUUGGAUGCCAUUGUGGAAAGUUUUUCGGUGUGGGAUGAGCUCGCGGCCUAUCAGCUUGUUGGUGGGGUAAUGGCCUACCAAGGCGUCGACGGGUAGCCGGCCUGAGAGGGUGCACGGCCACAUUGGGACUGAGAUACGGCCCAGACUCCUACGGGAGGCAGCAGUGGGGAAUAUUGCACAAUGGGCGCAAGCCUGAUGCAGCGACGCCGCGUGGGGGAUGACGGCCUUCGGGUUGUAAACUCCUUUCGCUAGGGACGAAGCGCAAGUGACGGUACCUGGAGAAGAAGCACCGGCUAACUACGUG
rnacentral:rRNA from 1 species